rnacentral:rRNA from 1 species
UACGGGGGGGGCAAGCGUUGUUCGGAAUUACUGGGCGUAAAGGGCUCGUAGGCGGCCAACUAAGUCAGACGUGAAAUCCCUCGGCUUAACCGGGGAACUGCGUCUGAUACUGGAUGGCUUGAGUUUGGGAGAGGGAUGCGGAAUUCCAGGUGUAGAGGUGAAAUUCGCAGAUAUCGGGAGGAACACCGGUGGCGAAGGCGGUUCUCUGGGCCUGACCUGACGCUGAGGAGCGAAAGCGUGGGGAGCGAACAGG